rnacentral:sRNA from 1 species
UUCUAGCCCCGAUGGAAGCGAUAUCCUUUUUUUGUUUGCCUUUGCAGGCAGAAAAAGAUUUAGCGUACAGCGGGACAAAUG